rnacentral:RNase_P_RNA from 1 species
CGACCCGGAUGAUUGCUGGCGUAAGCUAGAGGAAAGUCCAUGCUCGCACGGGCUGUGAUGCCCGUAGUGAUUGUGCUAACGGAAACGAUAACGUUAGGUAUAUGGGAGCAUAUAACGGCGGCGCAAGGCCUAAGUCGCAAGAUAUGGCGGCGCGCCUUAAAGUGCCACAGUGACGCAGUCUAGUAGGAAACUCUAGAAUGGAACGCGGUAAACCCCACAAGCGAGAAACCCAAAUUUGGUAGGGGAAGUUGAUGAAGGGAAGCGAACCAUCAUCAUCAUGCAAUGCAUAGAUAAAUAAUCGUCCUUGACAGAACAUGGCUUACAGGG